rnacentral:rRNA from 1 species
UACGAAGGGUGCUAGCGUUGUUCGGAAUUACUGGGCGUAAAGCGCGCGUAGGCGGCUAUUCAAGUCAGAGGUGAAAUCCCUGGGCUCAACCCAGGAAUUGCCUUUGAAACUGUAUAGCUUGAGUGUCGGAGGGGAUAGCGGAAUUGCUAAUGUAGAGGUGAAAUUCGUAGAUAUUAGCAGGAACACCGGUGGCGAAGGCGGCUAUCUGGACGACAACUGACGCUGAGGCGCGAAAGCACGGGGAUCAAACAGG